AUUGAACGCUGGCGGCAUGCCUUACACAUGCAAGUCGAACGGUAACAGGUCUUCGGAUGCUGACGAGUGGCGAACGGGUGAGUAAUACAUCGGAACGUGCCUAGUAGUGGGGGAUAACUACUCGAAAGAGUGGCUAAUACCGCAUGAGAUCUACGGAUGAAAGCAGGGGAUCGCAAGACCUUGUGCUACUAGAGCGGCCGAUGGCAGAUUAGGUAGUUGGUGGGAUAAAAGCUUACCAAGCCGACGAUCUGUAGCUGGUCUGAGAGGACGAUCAGCCACACUGGGACUGAGACCCGGCCCAGACUCCUGCGGGAGGCAGCAGUGGGGAAUUUUGGACAAUGGGCGCAAGCCUGAUCCAGCAAUGCCGCGUGCAGGAUGAAGGCCUUCGGGUUGUAAACUGCUUUUGUACGGAACGAAAAGCCCUGGGUUAAUACCCUGGGGUCAUGACGGUACCGUAAGAAUAAGCACCGGCUAACUACGUGGCAGCCGCCGCCGUAA
rnacentral:rRNA from 1 species